rnacentral:lncRNA from 1 species
GGCAAAGGGGCCAGAACCCGCGAUGUUCACUAUGAAGACAGGCUGCAUGUCUGCGCAGUCAGGCUUAGGGUGCGUUUGUAAUUAGGAUUUAGGGGCUGAAGGAUUGAUGCGCAAAAAGGAGCACCGUUCGCACGCGGCCUGCUAUAGUUUCUACAGUCUAGGUUUACAGCAUGGCCUGGGUUUCUACUUUGAUUUUCUUCUGUGUCCCGUCUUUACUCGGCGGAGCAGAGAGCGCGUCUGAGAUGUGCCGAGGUUCGCCUUGCUUCUCUGCCCAGGACUGGAGCAGACCGUGCGUCGGAGCGCACUGCCAGGGGCGCACGGAGGCAACAACGUCCAGAAGGCAGUUUCAUCAAUCUGCUCAGCCCAGACAAGCUCAGGUCUACUCUCAUCACCAAAAAGACGCUCAUUUCACUCAUCAUCAGGCUCAGAGUGCGCCCAUAGCGCCCUACACCGUCAUCCACCCUCAACAUGGAGGCUUUGCGCAGCAAACUGGCACGGAUGGUGCCAGGAGGACAAACCCAAGAACCAUCACGGCAGAGGUGUUCCAUCCUGGCUGCGCCGGGGGUACCUGCCCGACCACCGUCUCUCACCGUCAGCCGAGUGACGACAGUGCUGCACGAGAGUGCAAAGGGAUCGGAUGUAAGUUACCACUGCGGAUGCGUCAAAAGUCCAAGCCGUGCGCCGGGGACGGUUGCGAUGAGCACGGAGGCGACUACAGAAGAGGCAGCUCGUCGCCUGUACAUAUGAGAGACAGAGCAGCACAGUUUAUGGACGAGCUUCCAGACUAUGGAUCGGAACGUGGAGCGUGGAUACAGCUGACAUGUGACAUGAAACCAGGGACCAACGAGGUUCCCUCAGAGGAUGCUCUUGUGCUUCAACUGCAGUUGUCCAAGAGCCAGGAGAAGCUGGUUGAGGCCCUCAGGGGCCAGCAGGAUGAGAUCAGGGAGCUGCAGAGGCUCCUGAAUGAGCAGCAGGGGACGCUGGUCAACCAGCAGAGAGAAAUACUGGACCAGCAGAGGAGAAUGUUUGAACAGAUGGAGCAAGUAAAAUCACAGUACAACGUAUUGGUGGACAGUGUCAAACAAACGUCUGCGCAGCAGCUGCAGGGGGAGCUGGACAGCCACCUGGAAACCUUGAGGGGGCAGGUCAGAGCCCGUCAGAUGCAGCAGGCCCUGUCUCUGCACAAGGUGGACGUGGAGGCCAGCGUGGUGGAGGUGGGAGGUGCCUUCAUAUCCUGUGACAGUUGUGGCCCUGAGAAGUACUGCGACUUCAGUGGCGGCCGUGCUCGCUGUGAGAGGUGCACUGUCUGUCCCGCCGGCUUCUUUCUGGUCGCCCAAUGUUCGCUCCACGCAGACAGAAUCUGUCAGGACAGAGAUGAAUGUCUGGAGAUUGCCGAUCUGUGCGGAGGUCCACAAAAGUGUCUGAACACCCCAGGUGGCUUCAAGUGCCAGGGCAUGACAGAGCGAGACGCCUCCACGGGAAUGUGUGGCCACGGCUACUUCUACAACUCGGACAUGGAUGAGUGUCAGGCCUGCACCGAGUGUGACGAAGAACCUGUGAGUUCGCCCUGCACCUUCACCACAGACACCAUCUGCUCUGACCCACCGCCUGGCGACAGCGACCUCUCGCUCUCCUGGGCCGGAGACGUGAGCCUGCCCGGCGGGAGGGGCCACGUCCUUGGCCAAGCGUUCCCGAGCGUGCAGCUCCACAUCCGGGGAGGUGGCGACACGGGCCUCGCGGCCGCGGAACACGGCCGCCUGGUGCUCAGGCAGCACGGCCUGGUCUGGCUGGACGAGAACCUCUCGCUGAGUCACGGCUGCCGCAGCUUCGUCCAGGUCUGCCUGCGGGUCAACGGCACCGACGGCUCCGAAGGCCGCGACCUCAGCGGGGUCCGGGUGGAGCAGAGGGAGGAGCGGUCUCUGCAGAGCGCCAGCAUCAGCGGCGUGGCCGAGGUCGCCCCAGGGCACACGCUUUCCGUGCUCCUCCGCAGCGCCGGCCACCACUGUAACCAGAGCAGUGACGGCCUGCAGCUAUACAGCCCCGCAGCAGCUCCGCUCAGCCUCCUCUGGCUGUCUCAUGACACCGGGGCGGUCGCCAUGACGGCACAGGCGAUGGUGUCCGCGCACUACCACACCAACUACCGCCCGGUGUUCCGCACCACGUCCACCUCUGACCCGUACGUGGUGGGGCUGAGCCACGACGGCCGUGGGAUCCGCUUUGCAGAGAACGGCACGGUGCGAUUCGUGUUCCAGCAGGCGCUGUACUCCAUGGGCCAGGCCUGCGUGAGCGAAGGCUUCCAGCUGCUGGCCUUCGUUAACCGCAACGGAAGCAGCACCGAGGAGUGCCGCACCUUCAAAUCAGGCGUCCACUAUCGAGACACGUCCAUAUCUCUGUCCGGGGUAGCUAAGAUUGUUUCUGGGGAUACUCUGGGCUUUGAAAUCCUUUCUCCCGCUCAGUGCAACGUUCGCUUCUUUGGCGAUGAGACUGGCAUCAGUACCCUCAGUCUGGUUUGGGUUCCAGCUGCGAUUUCAUCGGCACUGUUCGCCACCGUGGCUCCCACGGGCCUCCCAUCAGGCGCCGUUCGGAACAAGCUGCUGACCUUCCAUCAGACCAGCGCUCAGGUGUCUCAGAUGGGGCUGCUGGGGAAGGGAGCCGCCGACCAGAGGCGUGAUUUUGUUUUUAGGGAGACCGGCACAGCCAGUGUGGCGCUGGAUCUCAAACUGAUCCACUCCUGCAACCUAGUCAAAGUGACUCUACUGAGGCGGAGCAGCCCACAGGGCUCCAGGGUGGGAAGGGAGGCGGACGCCACACAGCCUGUGCCCCUGGCCCAGCAGGUGGGCGGUCACAUGCCGGAGGGUAGCCAGUGGGCCAGCGUGAGCCUGCGCGCAUCCUUCCAGGUUCACAACGGAACAGCUGCCUUCUUCACGCUGGACUGUGUGCGCGGGCGGGUGAACCAGAUCAGUCACCAGACAGGAAGCGGGGUGUCAAUCCUGUGGGUGGCAGCAUAGCCACGACAAGCCAUGGGUAAAGGGUUGUUGUGCUUUAACCAGCCUGGGUUUCAUCAUCGGACUAGAACUGAUUAUGUAUUAAUCAGUUCUAGUAUUUAUACCACAGAAGCCUGGAUUCAUUGUGACUUUAUGAUCCCCUCAUGCAGUUUUCCUGCUUUCUCUUUCCGCGUGUGGUUUUGAUCUGUCUUCUAUUUAUGUAAUUCAGUUCGUCUGUUGACGCCAAAUGACUUUCACAUCAUUCCCACUGUGACUACAGCAUUUUUCUGCCGUCACUGGGGCUGGUUCCUUACAGGAGAGCACGUGUUUCAUGUUAGCGGAGAUUUUUGAAUGUGAACAUCCUCCUGCAUGCCCUGUUUAAUGUCCACUUACAGAGUCACAGCUUGUAUUUUAAAUGUGAACACGUAAAGAAACAGUUACUGUUUAUGUAAUUACAUGUAUAUUUGAUGUUUUUUACUAAAUUCAAUUAAAGCUUUUGUUGUUAUCUGUUC